UCUAAGAGGUGAACACAGCUGAACUGCUUGGUAAUAGUGACAAUAAUAUAAUUAAAUUUAACUUCCUUGUAGGAGGGAUAAUAUCAAAGAAACCCAACACAGUAGCAUUUAUCUUCAAAAAGAGGAGCUACACAAAAAUGAGGUGGCUAGUUAAACAGAAAUUAAAAGGAACACUCACAAGGGUAAAAUACUUGCAAGCUGCAUGGAAAGUGUUUAAAAACCACCAUAACAGAGGCUUAAAAAAAAUGUA